GACGAACGCUGGCGGCGUGCUUAACACAUGCAAGUCGAACGGAAAGGCCCUGCUUUUGUGGGGUGCUCGAGUGGCGAACGGGUGAGUAACACGUGAGUAACCUGCCCUUGACUUUGGGAUAACUUCAGGAAACUGGGGCUAAUACCGGAUAGGAGCUCCUGCUGCAUGGUGGGGGUUGGAAAGUUUCGGCGGUUGGGGAUGGACUCGCGGCUUAUCAGCUUGUUGGUGGGGUAGUGGCUUACCAAGGCUUUGACGGGUAGCCGGCCUGAGAGGGUUACCGGCCACAAUGGGACUGAGAUACGGCCCAGACUCCUAAGGGAGGCAGAAGUGGGGAAUAUUGCACAAUGGGCGGAAGCCUGAUGCAGCAACGCCGCGUGCGGGAUGACGGCCUUCGGGUUGUAAACCGCGUUCGCCUGUGACGAAGCGUGAGUGACGGUAAUGGGUAAAGAAGCACCGGCUAAAUACGUG
rnacentral:rRNA from 1 species